rnacentral:piRNA from 1 species
UGACCAUCAUCAUUGUUUCUGCCUUGGCC